GUACAGAGCUUCUAACAAGCAGGGGGCUCCGAUGUGAACUGAGUCAAAGGCGCCCAGCUUCAUGCGGAAAAUCUUCCCAAAUGCUCGGUGGUAAUCAGCCUAGGACAAGGAGACAGCAGCAGGAGAGUCCCAGAACUCAUGAAAAGUACACAGAACUGGUUUAUUCUUUCCAAUUGAAACAUGGGUCCAGGACUACGUGGAAUAAGGUGAGAACUGGAUGAAGGGACACUGAAGAGGUGAGCUGGGAGAAGCCAGCUUGGGUAGUGACCAGUUACAGCUGGACUUGAGGGGUUGAAUUUUGAAGCUACCUGGCCAUCGAAGACCCAGACACCAUGACCAACAGUAGGGAGACUAAGGGGAAGGCUCCAGCCACAAUUGGGUUU